rnacentral:rRNA from 1 species
AUUGAACGCUGGCGGCAUGCCUUACACAUGCAAGUCGAACGGCAGCACGGGAGCAAUCCUGGUGGCGAGUGGCGAACGGGUGAGUAAUAUAUCGGAACGUGCCCGGUCGUGGGGGAUAACGUAGCGAAAGCUACGCUAAUACCGCAUACGAUCUACGGAUGAAAGCGGGGGAUCGCAAGACCUCGCGCGAUUGGAGCGGCCGAUAUCAGAUUAGGUAGUUGGUGAGGUAAAGGCUCACCAAGCCGACGAUCUGUAGCUGGUCUGAGAGGACGACCAGCCACACUGGGACUGAGACACGGCCCAGACUCCUACGGGAGGCAGCAGUGGGGGAAUUUUGGACAAUGGGCGGCAAGCCUGAUCCAGCAAUGCCGCGUGCAGGAUGAAGGCCU